UACGUAGGGUGCGAGCGUUACUCGGAAUUACUGGGCGUAAAGCGUGCGCAGGCGGUGAUGUAAGACCGAUGUGAAAUCCCCGGGCUUAACCUGGGAACUGCAUUGGUGACUGCAUUGCUGGAGUAUGGCAGAGGGGGGUGGAAUUCCACGUGUAGCAGUGAAAUGCGUAGAGAUGUGGAGGAACACCGAUGGCGAAGGCAGCCCCCUGGGCCAAUACUGACGCUCAUGCACGAAAGCGUGGGGAGCAAACAGG
rnacentral:rRNA from 1 species